rnacentral:rRNA from 1 species
UUGAAAGGGAAACGAUUGAAGUCAGUCGUACCUAUGGGUAAUCAGCCUUUUGGGNNNNNNUUUGUGGAGCGUGAGGAGUUAAACGCCUUCAUGCCUGCAUAUUCGUGCACUUUGGGUGUACUUGCCCGUAUGGUUGGUUAACAUCAAUUUUGGUGGUCAUAAAAUGACUGGAGGAAUGUAGCUUCGAUCUUGUAUUGAAGUGUUAUAGCCUUCGGUAGAUGUGAUGAUCGAGAUUGAGGAUUGCAACGGAUACCCUUCGGGGCUACCUGUCUGAUCUCUGAUCGUUGCUCUGGUGCCGAAAGCUUGCUUACGGUUAUCAAAGUCGAUGGUCAAUAGGUUAGAACGGGUUAAAUUCGUUAAGGAUGUUGACGUA